GGGCGUAUGGUCUAGAGGUAUGAUACCUGCUUUGGGUGAGCUAGUCCGUAUCUCUACCUUUGCAGGGGGUCUUCGGUUCGAAUCCGGAUUCGCCCC